rnacentral:rRNA from 1 species
AUGGAUGUUCUUUCUUCCGCUCGUCCAUCUUCGAGCCAAGCACGUCCCCGUGCUUCUUCCUCUCGUCCUUCUUCCAGCCGAGCACGGAUUGAUGAACAGGAAGAUGAAGAUGAGGAGACAGACUUCGAUGCGGAUCCGGACUAUUUGGAGCUUGGGGCUUCGCAGAUGGAAGAUGCUCCACAGCCAACUCAACCUUCUCAGCCUUCUCAAGAAGCACGCCGAGUUAGCUCAAGGAACAUCCGACGUCCUGGAUGGCAGAACACUCCUGAGGGCUACGUCAAUAGGGGGAAGAUGCCUGCGAAAAGAGGCAAGAAGUGA